rnacentral:rRNA from 1 species
GAAGCGGCAACAGCUCAAAUUUGAAAUCUGGCGCAAGCCCGAGUUGUAAUUUGUAGAGGAUGCUUCUGGCCAGCGGCCGUUCUAAGUUCCUUGGAACAGGACGUCAUAGAGGGUGAGAAUCCCGUAUGUGACCGGCGCGCAGCCUUUACGUAGCUCCUUCGACGAGUCGAGUUGUUUGGGAAUGCAGCUCUAAAUGGGAGGUAAAUUUCUUCUAAAGCUAAAUACCGGCCAGAGACCGAUAGCGCACAAGUAGAGUGAUCGAAAGAUGAAAAGCACUUUGGAAAGAGAGUUAAAAAGCACGUGAAAUUGUUGAAAGGGAAGCGCUUGCAACCAGACUUCGUAGCGAUGUUCCGCUGGUCUUCUGACCGGUCUACUCAUCGUCGCGAGGCCAACAUCGUCUGGGCCCGCUGGAUAAGACCUAAGGAAUGUGGCUUCUCUUCGGGGAAGUGUUAUAGCCUGUGGUGAUGCAGCGUGGCUCGGGCGAGGUCCGCGCUUCGGCAAGGAUGUUGGCGUAAUGGUUGUCAGCGGCCCGUCUUGAAACACGGACCAAGGAGUCUAACAUCUAUGCGAGUGUUCGGGUGUCAAACCCCUACGCGUAAUGAAAGUGAACGGAGGUGGGAAGCGCAAGCUGCACCAUCGACCGAUCCUGAUGUCCUCGGAUGGAUUUGAGUAAGAGCAUAGCUGUUGGGACCCGAAAGAUGGUGAACUAUGCCUGAAUAGGGUGAAGCCAGAGGAAACUCUGGUGGA